UACCGCAUAACGUAUUUUGGGGGCAGUCCCUGAAAUCCAAAGCUUUAUGUGCUGAAAGAUGGUCUCGCGUCUGAUUAGCUAGAUGCGGGUAAGGCCCACCAUGGCGACGAUCAGUAGCCGGUCUGAGAGGAUGAACGGCCACAUUGGGACUGAGAUACGGCCCAGACUCCUACGGGAGGCAGCAGUGGGAAUAUUGGGCAAUGGGGGAAACCCCUGACCCAGCAACGCCGCGUGAAGGAAGAAGGCCUUCGGGUUGUAAACUUCUUUUAGCAGGGACGAAUACGUGACGGUACCUGCAGAAAAGCAACGGCUAACUACGUG
rnacentral:rRNA from 1 species